rnacentral:lncRNA from 1 species
UGCUUGGUGAGACAGUGUCACCGUUCUGGGAAGAGCUAGUCUGGGAGAAGGAGUCAGGAUACUAGACCUGUCUGUGAGGCACUGGAUGACUCCAGAUGCAGCAUCCAGAUCUCAGGAGAGGACAUUGUACUCAUCUUGCCAGCCCACCCAACUGGAAGCCAUGCUUAGUGUAGCCUACUCUAGGCACAGGAAGAGGCAGGGCUCACAGCUGCCACUGAUGUAUAUGCAGAGUACGUACAAGGCGAGUGGAGCAGCCAAGAGAACCAGACUGUAGCAGGUUAAUUGGCUGGGGCUGACAGAUUCCAAGUCAAACUGGCCCAAGCUCAUGUCUGGGAUUCUAAAGCAGAAGGAAGAGUCAAGAGAGAGGGAAUGGACCUGGAUGACUGCAAGAGGACCAGGUGCAGAAGCCAAAACAUACCAUACUGAGGCAGACAGGAGCAGGUGGUUAGGGGACUAAGGCAAUUACUGAGGAGAGAGGCUGAUGAAGACGGAAGUAAAAGAAAAACAGGUUGGAGUGCUGCAGCUGAGGAGCCCUGCUGGCUGCAGUACCACUGUCUACAUUAUUUUAAAAACUAUUUCUUCUUUUUUAUAAAAAAAUCAAACUAAUGCAUGAGUAUUAUUUUUAGUUUUGUUUUUAAAAUUAAAUCGUAUUGCCACAUCCAUAACUUAAAAAUUGCAAUCCUCUGACCCAAUUUUUUGAAUUCCUGCUUUCUAGAACCAAAUGCUUUCAACUCUUUUCUGUUUCUUCUGUUUUUCUCUCUUUAUUUGUAAACAGCAGAUUAUGCUACUAUUUCUUUUUUUUGUUUUGUUUUUUAGGUUUAGUUUUUUGGCUCCUGUAUGAAAGAUGAGGAUUGUGUUCCCUCACACCAUCCUUUCCCACUCUCUGGCCGCCUAAUAUAUUCACACUAUUCCUCCUCCCCAUCCUCUCAAUAUACUAUUGUUACCUUAUGGGUAAAAUCAAUGCUUAUUAAUUUUGAGCAUUGAUUUUAUGAUGUUUAUGAUGUUAUGAUCAUGGAAAUGCAAUUCACUGCUGAUCUAGGGAAUACAAUAAAACUACUUUAUGUUUUACCUGGAUUUAAUAGUUGCCUCAUUGUUUGUUUGUUUCUUAGUUUUCCAGGUACCUAUCACAGCAAUUCACUGCUGAUCUAGAAGAUACAAUAAAACUACUUUAUGUUUUACCUGGAUUUAAUAGUUGCCUCAUUGUUUGUUUGUUUCUUAGUUUUCCAGGUACCUAUCACGAAUUCAUUCUCAGAAUUUCUGAAAGAACAAUAAAAAUCAUUGCAAUAUGUGCAAACAUUAGGUAGUCUGUUUGUUUCUUUUUUCUUUUUCUACUCGGGGAUUUCCUCCUAGUGCAUUUUGUCCUUCUGUUACUUGUAAGUCUCUAAGCUUGCUACACAACUAUCAUUGGGAACUUUUCUGCACCAUUAAUCUGGAAAUUCCCUUUGCCUCUUUUCUGUGUUAAAACUCCUGUUUUCUAGAUUCUGUGUUUCCCCCCCUGCUUGGUUUAUUCACUUCUUUUGGCAGAAUACAUCUGCAAGUAGCUUAUUGUGAAAAGAUAAGUGGGAGGUUAAUUUUUUGAAAUCUUGCAUAUCUGAAAAUGUUUUUAUGUAUUUUAAUAGCUUUUUUGAAAUAUAUUUUGCAUACCAUAAAAUUCGCCCAUUUAAAGUGUAUAAUUCAGUGGUUUUUAGUAUAUUCACACAGUUAUGCAACCAUCACAAUUUAAUUUUAGAACAUUUUUGACAUCCCCAAAAUAAAUUCUGUACACAUUAGCAGUCCUCCACCAUUUCUGCUCACUUAUUUUCCCUCAACCUACUGCUCCAACCUCAGGUAGUCACUAAUCAACCUUCUGACUCUGUUGGUUUGCUGAUUCUGAACUUUUCACAUAAGUGGAAUCAUACAAUACAUGGUCUUUUGUGAUUGACUUAUUUCAGUUAGCAUAUUUUUUUCAAGGUUUAUCUAAGUCGGAGCAUGUGCCAGUAUUCAUUCUUUUUUAUUGCUGCAUAAUAUUCUAGUGUAUGGACAUACCACAUUUUGUUUGUCCAGUCAUUAAUUAAUGGAUAUUUUGUUUGUUUCCACCUUUUGGCUAUUUUGAAUAAUUCUGCUAUGAACUUUCAUGUACAAGUUUUUGUGUAGACAUAUAUUUUCACUUCUCUUGGGUAUACAUCCAGGAGUAGAAUUGCUAGUUUAUAUUCUAACUCUAUGUUUUGCAUUUUGAAGAACUGCCAAACUAUUUUCCAAAGUGGUUGCACCAUUUUACAUUCCCA